rnacentral:rRNA from 1 species
UGGGGAAUAUUGGACAAUGGGCGAAAGCCUGAUCCAGCCAUGCCGCGUGAGUGACGAAGGCCUUAGGGUUGUAAAACUCUUUCGUCGGGGACGAUAAUGACGGUACCCGAAGAAGAAGCUCCGGCUAACUUCGUGCCAGCAGCCGCGGUAAUACGAAGGGAGCUAGCGUUGUUCGGAAUCACUGGGCGUAAAGCGCACGUAGGCGGAUAGUUAAGUCAGGGGUGAAAUCCUGGGGCUCAACCCCAGAACUGCCUUUGAUACUGGCUGUCUCGAGGUCGAGAGAGGUUGGUGGAAUUCCUAGUGUAGAGGUGAAAUUCGUAGAUAUUAGGAAGAACACCAGUGGCGAAGGCGGCCAACUGGCUCGAUACUGACGCUGAGGUGCGAAAGCGUGGGGAGCAAACAGGAUUAGAUACCCGUAGUAGUCCCUGAGCGGGCUGGCAAGGCGCAU